ACACAUGCAGUCGAGCGGAUGAGAGGAGCUUGCUCCUUGAUUUAGCGGCGGACGGGUGAGUAAUGCCUAGGAAUCUGCCUGGUAGUGGGGGAUAACGUUCCGAAAGGAACGCUAAUACCGCAUACGUCCUACGGGAGAAAGCAGGGGACCUUCGGGCCUUGCGCUAUCAGAUGAGCCUAGGUCGGAUUAGCUAGUUGGUGAGGUAAUGGCUCACCAAGGCGACGAUCCGUAACUGGUCUGAGAGGAUGAUCAGUCACACUGGAACUGAGACACGGUCCAGACUCCUACGGGAGGCAGCAGUGGGGAAUAUUGGACAAUGGGCGAAAGCCUGAUCCAGCCAUGCCGCGUGUGUGAAGAAGGUCUUCGGAUUGUAAAGCACUUUAAGUUGGGAGGAAGGGCAGUAAGCUAAUACCUUGCUGUUUUGACGUUACCGACAGAAUAAGCACCGGCUAACUUCGUGCCAGCAGCCGCGGUAAUACGAAGGGUGCAAGCGUUAAUCGGAAUUACUGGGCGUAAAGCGCGCGUAGGUGGUUCGUUAAGUUGGAUGUGAAAGCCCCGGGCUCAACCUGGGAACUGCAUCCAAAACUGGCGAGCUAGAGUACGGUAGAGGGUGGUGGAAUUUCCUGUGUAGCGGUGAAAUGCGUAGAUAUAGGAAGGAACACCAG
rnacentral:rRNA from 1 species